AGAGGGAAAACUAUGAAAGAUUUUUUAUUACUCGUAACACUUUUUAUAUUGGCAUGAAUAAAAUAUUUUGUAUUUAACUGGUUUUUGGUUUUCGUUACUACAGCUGUUGUUAUGCUCAUUUUUUAAACUUAAAUCAUCAUGAGGUUACGUUCGUUUUGACGAAAAAAAGGAACUACCUCAGAAUAACGCUCUUUGGAUUUAAAAAAUAAAUUUAUAAGUCGGCCUUCCCUUGCUUUCAAUUAUAUAAUAUAAGAGUAACAUUUUGUCAAAUUGAGACUUUCCUACAUUUUGAAUUCAGUUAAAAAUUUGCCCAAGUUACUCCUUAUGUGAUUAAUUUGUGGAUUUCCACCAAAAAUUUACAAACAUUUAGGAGAUUAACUGAAAAAAAAACUACAAAAUAUUUAAAUGUGAAAAACUAUUAAUUCUAAAUUACUUAAAGACUCAUCAGUUUUAUUUAUAAAUAUGGAUAAAUUAUUUAAAUAAUGUCAUGAGUUCCGUCUGGUGGAUAUAGUCUUCGUCCAUAAUGUUUAUCGAUGGAUUCAUUAAUCCUGAGUGCUAAACGUAAUUAUUAAAAGUCUAAAUAAAACAAAAAAGAAAAAACAAAUAAACGAGUAAACACGUUUCUUUAGCGAUAGCGGGCUACAGUUUAAAGUUAAAUGUUAUCAGUACAAUAGUUUCCGUUUUCAGAAUUAGCAUUUAUUAACGAAAUGUGGGCGCGUACAUUGCUUUGUAUGCUACUAUUUUGUCACAUUCAUUGUCAUUACAUGCGAGACAAGGAGGACUACCAUCAUAUGACAUCCGAUGCAAAGGGAAUUUUGUUUCGUGUAUUUCAAAAAUUACAACAAAACCAUCCAGAUUUGAGAAACAUAAAAUCUUUACCCAAAAAGAUUUCAAUACUGAAAACGAGACUUCAUCAACAUUUGAAGAGAAAAAUAAACACAGAUUUCGUCAAAAAGCAAUUAUGAAUAAUAUUAUAGCAAAUUAAUACUUAAUUAAA